rnacentral:ncRNA from 1 species
CUGGUUGAUCCUGCCAGUAGUCACAUGCUUGUCUCAGAGAUUAAGCCAUGCAUGUCUAAGUACAUACCUUAAAAAGGUGAAACCGCGAAUCGCUCAUUAAAUCAGCUAUGAUUCCUUAGAUCGUAAAUGCUAUAUGGAUAACUGUAGUGAUUUUAAAGCUAAUACAUGCCUGACUCGCAAGGGGACGGGUGCAUUUAUUAGAACAGAACCAAUCGGGUGCGGCUUCGGUUGCGUCUGUUACAUUCUGUGAUGACUCUGGAUAACUUUACUGAUCGCAGUCGGCCUUGUGUUGGCGACGGAUCUUUCAAAUAUCUGCCCUACCAAUUUGUUGGUAGGUGAUAUGCCUACCAUGAUAAUAACGGGUAACAGGGAAUCAGGGUUCCAUUCCGGAGAGGGAGCCUGAAAAAUGACCACCCCAUCCAAGGACGACAUCAGGCGCGAAAAUUACGUACUCCUGGCAAGGGGAGGUAGCAACGAAAAAUACGUAUAUGAGACUCAAUUGAGGCUCCGUAAUUCGAAUGAGUGCAAUUUAAGUCCUUUAACGAGGACCAAUUGGAGGCCAAGUCUGGUACCAGCAGCCGCGAUAACUCCAGCUCCAAAAACGUAUAUUAAAGUUGCUGCAGUUAAAAAGCUCGUAGUUGGAUCUGGGUCGUGUGGCUGUAUGCCAUUCUUCGUUCACGGUUUUGAUUACAAUCAGGACCAGAGUUCAGCUCGGUGAAGUGGCUGUGCAGCCUUUCAGCCGUGUCUGUGUUAAACGGGUGUCGGGAGCGGACGGCAUCUUUACUUUGAGCGAAUUUGAGUGCUCAAAGCAGGUCUGUGUGUCUGAAAAUUUUUACGUGGAAUGAUGAAAUAGGACUUCGGUUCUAUUUUGUUGGUUUUCGGAUGCGAAGUAAUGGUUAAGAGGGACAGACGGGAGCAUUUGUAUGGCGAUGUUACUGGUGAAAUUGUGGGAUCGCCGCCAGACAAACAACAGCGAAAGCAUUUGCCAAAAAUGUUUUCAUUGAUCAGGAGCGAAAUUCAGAUUUUUGAAAACGAUCAGAUACCGUCGUAGUUCUGACCAUAAACGAUGCCAACUGACGAUCCGCGUUGGUUCUAUAAUUAACAUCGCAGGCAGUUCCUGGGAAACCUNNNNNNNNNNNNNNNNNNNNNNNNNNNNNNNNNNNNNNNNNNNNNNNNNUUUGGGCUCCG